rnacentral:lncRNA from 1 species
AUUUUUAUUUUUAAGCAUUCAUAAAAGGUGAAAAACGUGAAUUGUUUCCCAAUCUCAAAAUUCAGUAUGAGCGUGGUGCUGAUCCACAGCUUCUGCUUCAUGAUGAGUUAGAUAAUGUCAAAGAAGUUCUAAGCAUUACAAAAUGGGAUACAGACACAAUAGCCCAGUUUUUAAAAGAGAAGGUUCAAAUUUAAUGUUAUUAGGCAAAUUAUGUUAUUUAAUAAGGUCUUUUCUGUUUCCAUUUUACUUUUUUUUUUCUUUCGCUUUUUUAUCCAUUUUUUUUUUUUUUUUUAAUUUUAUAUUUCUACCUUUAGUGAGAUUUUAGGGUUUCAAUUCAAAGAUGUUAGAUUGCAUAUUCUUAAUUUUAUAGCCUCUUAUUUUCCUUUUUUUUUCUCUAUUUAUUUUACGGAAUUUUGCUUUUAUUUGUAAGGGUUUUUAUAAAACAUUAGUUUAAAUAUUAUUAUUUAUGAAAAAAUGAACAUUAUUAUUAUCCACGGAGGAUGCUGUUUGAGGAUACCCAGCUGAAUCUUGUAGGUAGUUAUAAUUAAAACUUUUGAUGUUACUAUUGUAACUUUUUAUGAAGACAUGUAUAUAAACCAUUGUAUGGAAAUACAUGUAUGAAGAAGUUUGUUCAUUUCUAUGAAAA